GAGUUUGAUCAUGGCUCAGGAUGAACGCUAGCGGGAGGCUUAACACAUGCAAGUCGAGGGGUAACAUAAUGUAGCAAUACGUUGAUGACGACCGGCGUACGGGUGAGUAACGCGUAUGCAACCUACCCUGUACUGGGGGAUAGCCCGGAGAAAUUCGGAUUAAUACCCCAUAAAGAUAUUUUGAGGCAUCUUAGAAUAUUUAAAGCUUCGGCGGUACGGGAUGGGCAUGCGUAACAUUAGCUGGUUGGUAGGGUAACGGCCUACCAAGGCGACGAUGUUUAGGGGUCCUGAGAGGGUGAUCCCCCACACUGGUACUGAGACACGGACCAGACUCCUACGGGAGGCAGCAGUGAGGAAUAUUGGUCAAUGGGCGCAAGCCUGAACCAGCCAUCCCGCGUGCAGGAAGACGGCGCUAUGCGUUGUAAACUGCUUUUCCAGGGGAAGAAAACCCGCGAUGUAUCGAGGUUUGCCGGUACCUUGGGAAUAAGCAUCGGCUAACUCCGUGCCAGCAGCCGCGGUAAUACGGAGGAUGCGAGCGUUAUCCGGAUUUAUUGGGUUUAAAGGGUGCGUAGGCGGAUUAUUAAGUCAGUGGUGAAAACCUUCAGCUUAACUGGAGACUUG
rnacentral:rRNA from 1 species